GACGAACGCUGGCGGCGUGCCUAAUACAUGCAAGUAGAACGCUGAAGCGAGGAGCUUGCUCUUCUUGGAUGAGUUGCGAACGGGUGAGUAACGCGUAGGUAACCUGCCUGGUAGCGGGGGAUAACUAUUGGAAACGAUAGCUAAUACCGCAUAAAAUGGAUUAUCGCAUGAUAAUCCAUUGAAAGGUGCAAAUGCAUCACUACCAGAUGGACCUGCGUUGUAUUAGCUAGUUGGUGGGGUAACGGCUCACCAAGGCGACGAUACAUAGCCGACCUGAGGGGGUGAUCGGCCACACUGGGACUGAGACACGGCCCAGACUCCUACGGGAGGCAGCAGUAGGGAAUCUUCGGCAAUGGACGGAAGUCUGACCGAGCAACGCCGCGUGAGUGAAGAAGGUUUUCGGAUCGUAAAGCUCUGUUGUAAGAGAAGAACGAGUGUGAGAGUGGAAAGUUCACACUGUGACGGUAGCUUACCAGAAAGAGACGGCUAACUACGUG
rnacentral:rRNA from 1 species